rnacentral:rRNA from 1 species
GAUGCACGCUGGCGGCGUGCCUAAUACAUGCAAGUCGAGCGAAGCGGGGACGGGUGAGUCACACGUGGAUAACCUCCUAUAAGACUGGGAUAACUUCGGGAAACAGGAGCUCAACCGGAUACUUCUAAAUGGAUCCGCGCUGCAUUAGCUAGUUGGUAAGGUAACGGCUGACCAAGGCAACGAUGCAUAGCCGACCUGAGAAGGGGAGCGGCGAAACUGGAACUGAGACACGGUCCAGAAGCCUACGGGAGGCAGCAGUGGGGAAUCUUCCGCAAUGGGCGAAAGCCUGAAGGAGCAACGCCGCGUGAGUGAUGAAGGUCUUCGGAUCGUAAAACUCUGGUAUUAGGGAAGCGGUACCUAAUCAGAAAGCCACGGCUAACUACGUGCCAGCAGCCGCGGUAAUUC